AUGGAGCGCCUGGCAGAAAAUGCAAAUAUUUUUUGCCAGAAAUGCCAUUUCUGGCAAAUCGAGCUUUUCGACAUUUCACUCGUGCGUUCUUGCGUUUUAGGUGGUUUGUGGCCAUAUGAAUGACCUGGAGCAAUCACUGAAGAAGUUCUCAUUUGACGCAUCUUCAAGUUCUGAUGAUUUGGAUUUAUCGUCGCUUGGGGGACAAAAUGUUCCAAAUGGAUGUCUGGGUCAAUAAACCACCAUAACAUGGAG